CGGGCUGACGGGAGACCUCCGGCUCUGCGGCUGCUGCGGCGCCGCGGGCGGCGGGGGCUGCUGCUGAGAGAGAGAGGGAGAGCGAGAACAAGCAAGGGGAGCAGCAGAGGCAGAGGGAUAAGUAGUCUCCCUGCUGAACAAGGAGCCCGAUGUGAGACUUGAUCCCAGGACCCCAGCAUCACGAUCUGAGCCAAAGGCAGACACCCAACCGACUGAGCCACCCAGAUUUUAUUUAUUUAUUUGACGGAGAAAGAGACAUCGAGAGAGGGAACACAUGCGAGAGGGAGAAGCAGGUGUCCUGCCGAUGUGGGGUUCAAUUCCAGGACCCUGGGAUCAUAACCUGAGAUGAAGGCAGAUGCUUAACCGACUGAGCCACCCAGGUUACCUCAUGUUCCAUGGAGCUCCAGCUAUCAGAACCAUAUCUCAGGCAUCAGGAGAAAGAAAAGGUGAUGGAGAAAAGGGAUGCUCCUUCAAUGAGUAGACUGAAGAUUAUGAAAAAGGCAGAGCUAAGACAGAGAAGAGAACCAGUAUGCACUGAACACCAUUACAAACAUCUCAUUUAAUUUUGACACCUUGUAUGGAUGCUUACUUUGUUCUGAAUUCUAGUGAGUAUUUUUCUAGGACCAGAAUGACUGACUUUCACCUGAUGGUCAACCAAAUUUUCUUUGUCUCCUGGGAUGUGUUUAUCAGAAAAAUGGGCCAGACAGUAGACAAAGCCAGUUCAACUUUGGGGAUUUUGCUCAUGGAUCAUCAUGCACAAGGGAUUAGAGCACAUGGAUUAGAAUUUUCUUUCUCAAAGGAAUUAUUGACCUUUCUGGCCCUGGAGAAGGACCCAAGCACAUCUUUAUAUUUCUCUCUGCUAGGACAUUCAGUUCUUGAACUUAAUAAUUCUAAAUACAGAGGUCUCUCAUUUAAAUAAAAACAUCACAAAUCAUAUACAGUGUUCUGGAUUUAGAGGGGAUAAAGGGAAUCUCCUUCGGAUGUGUAAUAUGUUUGAGAGCUGCAUUAAGAUGUGAAGAUAUAGAAAAUAUGGAAUAAGAACAAAAAAAGACACUCUAGAGAAAAUAAAAGUCUACAAGUGUGCAGUGAUCCUCAAACGAAUUAAUCAAGUAAAAUCUAUAGAUUUCAAGACAUGAAUUUCACACAAUUGAUAGAAAAUAGAAUGAAAUAGAAAUUGUUACACCUGUAUCCUACGCAAAUAGAUUAGAAUGCAGACACACACUCACAGCCCUAUCUUCCCAUCUGAUCACUCACACAGAUGAAAGGGAUCCAAAAACACUGUUUUCUCUCUCCCAUUUCUUUUAUCUUAAUGAUAUGUAGUAGAAAUUUUCAUAUUAGUACCUACUAUUAUUUUUAUAUUAUUCUAGCACAGUCUUUCUAAUGGUUCAAGGUAUUUCAUUGUAUAAAUGUAUCUUAAUGUAAAUCUACAAUCGCCUAUAAAUAAACAUGAAGAUUGUUUUCA